rnacentral:rRNA from 1 species
ACACUCCUACGGGAGGCAGCAGUGGGGAAUUUUGGACAAUGGGGGCAACCCUGAUCCAGCAAUGCCGCGUGAGUGAAGAAGGCCUUCGGGUUGUAAAGCUCUUUUGUCAGGGAAGAAACGGUGGUGGCGAAUAACUACUACUAAUGACGGUACCUGAAGAAUAAGCACCGGCUAACUACGUGCCAGCAGCCGCGGUAAUACGUAGGGUGCAAGCGUUAAUCGGAAUUACUGGGCGUAAAGCGUGCGCAGGCGGUUGUGUAAGUCAGAUGUGAAAUCCCCGGGCUCAACCUGGGAAUUGCAUUUGAGACUGCACGGCUAGAGUGUGUCAGAGGGGGGUAGAAUUCCACGUGUAGCAGUGAAAUGCGUAGAUAUGUGGAGGAAUACCGAUGGCGAAGGCAGCCCCCUGGGAUAACACUGACGCUCAUGCACGAAAGCGUGGGGAGCAAACAGGAUUAGAAACCCCUGUAGUCCCAUGA